rnacentral:misc_RNA from 1 species
CGUGUAUCAAAAGAAAGCUAAGCAUCAGCGGACGACGCUGAAUGGAAUUUCCUAGUGCUUCGUUAUUAUUCCUUGGUUUUAGAAUUUUUUCAAGAAUUCGCAUUGUGCAGCUCCUCGGGAACUUCGACUGCUUGUGAAUCUAGCUUGAUGCCCCAAAUUGUUAUCAAACAAAUUCUACUGGAUUAUCUAUUUUUAUUUUGUCCACCGUACAGGUUCUGGUAGGAGAAAUUUGCUUUCAAGCAAUGGCGUCAAAAAUGCAAUUACGAGUAAAGCACAAAGGCGGCCAGUCUGUUAUUUCAUCCCUCACGUUAACCAGCAGAGUUGAUCAGUUACUAGAUGAACUAUCAAAAUCCACUCAAAUUCCUGUACACUUGGUUAAAAUCUUGCGGGGUUUCCCACCAAUUGCUCUGGACAUCUCUGACAAAAGUGUCUCUCUUGGUGACUGUGGCCUUCAGGAAAGAGACACCCUCCUUGUAGAAGAGCUGCCAGUGAUACAGUCAUCAGAGUGCUUGCCUUCAGCACAUAGUGAAGACAGUGUUGAGUUACUAAAAGAUGCACCAACAGGCAUACUAAUGAGGAAAGUUGUACCAUCUGACAAUUCAUGCCUCUUUACAAGCAUUGGGUUUUGUCUCUCAGGCAAACCUGAUCCCACAUCUAGCUCUUUUAUGAGAGAGUUGGUUGCAUCAACAGUAGUUAAUCAAACAGAACAAUACAACGAGGCACUGCUUGGAAAGCCAAACAAAGAAUAUAAAAAAUGGAUUCUUCAGGAUGAUUCAUGGGGAGGGGCCAUAGAACUAGCCAUUUUAUCAUCAUAUUUUGGAUUGGAGAUUGAUGUGGUGAAUACUCAGCAUUCAGUUAUCAACAAGUUUGGUGAAGACCAGAAUUAUGGUCAGAGAAUCCUUUUGAUCUAUGACGGCAUUCAUUACGACCCUCUCUACCUUGAACCUUUCGACGGUAGCCCAAACAAAACGCUUUUUCCCACUACAGAUACUUGGAUAUUACAGCAAGCUGAAGAAUUGGCAGCUGAAGCUAGAGCUAGCCACCAGUUUACGGAUGUUAAUCACUUUAGUCUCAAGUGUAUGGUGUGCCAUUGCUUUUUAACAGGCCAGACACAAGCCCAGCAGCAUGCAAAGGAGACUGGUCAUACUAACUUUGGAGAGGUUACAUCGUCGAGUUAACCAAUAUUGUUAACGAUCUCGGUUUGCUAUAGUAAAGGUUAUUUCGACUAAUUUUUCUGGUUUAUGCACGACUCAUUUAACAAGAAGCAAACAGUUUUCCCAUCUUUUUCAAACGGUUGCAGUAAUUUUUCGAAGCAAAGGAAAACCUCGCCUUUGUUCUUGGGAUGCUUUUACCUUUUUCCAAGAUUGUAAUGCUUCGAAAAAACUGAUGAAGCUCACUUUGAUUCCGAUUUUUUUACAAGAAAACGAAUGAUCCUCUCGAAAUAAGCGUUAAAUGCUCAUCAGUGUGAUCUAGCGAAUUUCUAGGGUUCGGCUCCCGAACGAGCAAAAUUGAUACGUGUUUAACAACUAUCUAAUUAAACAUGAAUUGUAUACAUCUCUUACGAUUAAUGGGAAUUAUAGAUAUAUUUAUAUGAGUUAUAUUAAAAAUUUAACGAAGGUGGAGAAAAUCAAGUUUGUUUUGACUUGGAAUUUACACUAAAAGCGUUUUUCGUUUUUCGCCAUGCAUCCACUAGAAUUAGAUGUCGGACAUCUCUUGGAAUUCCAUAAAAAUUACACAUUCUACACAAAAUUGAA